rnacentral:lncRNA from 1 species
CAUGUAAUGCCACCAUAAAGUGCUUUAUGGGCUGUGUAGCUGAUCAGUCUACACCACUUGGCCUUUGGGUAGGUAAGCAAGUGGUCUUCAUGAGCUGCACCAAGUCAGAAAAAAAGCCCAUUUCUGCCUUCUGGGCUUUGACUGUCUUUCCCUUUGGGCCUCCUUUCGGGCCAGCUCCUUCCUUGAGCCCAAAGUUCAAGUUUUGAUCCAAACAGUGCCCCCUUCAAUUAAUGUUAAGGUUGGAAUCCCAGGCGCCAUCAUUGAUUGAAUAUCCGCAUGCGUGUAUCUCAAUCUUUUGGAACUUCGUGUUUUCUAGACAGGAUGAAGGCAACCCCGUGCCUCUUGCUCUUCUCACGACCCCUGAACUACCCUCUGGGGCUCUAUAAAUUCUGGCUCGGAAUUUCUUCUAUCAAGCCAUCAAAUCUUCUUCACUCUUUUCUUCCAUCUUCCUCGAGCAUUUAGAAACUGAGAGAUGAGUUCCUCAGGCUUUGAGUGGGGUUUCCUAAAACUCUCUUUUCGUGAGAAAGAGGGCUUUCAUCAAAGGACUGCUAUCUCCAACACCCUUGGUCGAACACCCCGCUAUCUCCAACACCCUUGGUCAGGCGGUUUCCUUUCGGAGACUUGUCUUCCUGCUUGUUGCGAUGAUAAGUCGGGCUUGACCAUCACCUACGGUGAUGGUCCUGUCUGAGGAUCCUCUACCAGGCUCAUGUUGGCCGCACAACCCGAUCACCUGAUCGGGUUCCAUCCAUGAAGACAUCGGAAAAUCAGCUGAAGUACCAUUGCAUCUAGGAGGAGAAUUGAUUGUAAUACGUUGGCUUUGAAUCUUUUGUAAAUUUCAUCAAUUUGUCGAAAUGAAAUAUACAUUAUCUCAGCAACUCUUGUCUUUCCAUCUUCUUGAAUGUUUGAUAAAUAAUACACUGCACAUUGAUAUCCCGAAGCUUGCUUUACCUUGCAUCCUCUUCAAUAUAACAAUCUCUGAUAUCCCACAAUGUAGGACAAUAUUUCUUUAAGAAUUUAACGUUAAUGGUAUGUUUAUGCCUGUUUCCUUCAAGGUCCGCUAGGUAGUAUCCCCUUUUAUCUAAAACGCGACUAAUAACGAAAGGACCUUCCCAUGUCGGGCUCCAUUUUCCAAAGCCCCUAAGCUGAGCUCCUAGAGGGAGGACUGUCUUCCAUACUAAAUCCCCUUCCUUGAAAGAUUUCAUCCUUACCUUUUUGUUAUAAGCUCGGGCAACAACUCGCUUUCCUUCUUGAAUCUGGUUCAAAGCUUCAAUUCGGGCGGCAUCCAAAUCUUCAAUCCCUUGACACAUGGCUUCGAUAUACUCUUCACUAUGCAAUCCAAACUGAUUUUGAAUUCUUACAGAACUUACAUUGAUUUCCACGGGGAGCACUGCAUCUUGCCCGAAAGUUAAAGCAUAAGGGGUUGUCUAUGUUCCUGCUCUCUUAGAAGUUCUAUAUGCCCACAAAGUGUUCCCCAGAUUUUCAUGUCAUUUUUCUGGACUAUCAAUCACCAUCCUCUUGAUAAUGUUGACCAGGAUCUUGUUGCUGGCUUCUGCCUGACCAUUUGAUUGAGGAUAGUACGGACUGGACUAGAUCAUCUUUAUUUUGUACUCGCUUGCAAAUUCCUCAACUUCUUUUGAAAUAAAAGAUGGCCCACGAUCCGUUACUAUGGUUUCGGGCACCCCAUAUCUGUGCAGAAUCUUGGUCUCGAUAAAAUUCUUGACUGUGGCUGAGUUUAUGGAUUUUACUGCUGAUGCUUCCACCCACUUGGUGAAGUAAUCCGUUGCUACAAUUAUGAAGGUAUGCCCUUUACUAGAAGCUGGAUAAAUUUGCCCGAUGAAGUCCAUCGCCCAUCCUUUGAAGGGCCAAGGCUUGACCACUGGAUUUAAAGGCACCGAGGGCACAUGCUGGAGAGGUUCGUGCCUCUGACAUUCUUCACAACCUCGGGCAUAGGACUUGCAAUCUUUUUCCAUGUCGGGCCAGAAAUACCAUAUCUCCUAAGCAACCAUCUCAUCUUCGUUCCAGCCUGAUGUGCUCCACAUACUCCUUCAUGUACUUCGGCCAUCACCUUCAUGGAUUCUUCUUGGCCCAAGCAUUUCAACAGUAACCCAUCUGGAGUUUUCUUAGCAAGUUCUUCGCCCAUAAGACACAUACUUGGUUGCUUGCUGUCUAUCCUUCUUGCUUGUAGGCGAAGAAGGAUCCUUCAAAUGAUGAACGAUAGGUGACCUCCAAUCUUCUAUUUCGGCCUCUAAUACCAUUAUAUCUAGACAGAAUCCCUUUUCUAAGAUGGAAUGAAGGUUUCUUCUUUGGAUCUCGACAUCUACCCCAUUAUUUCCUCUCCUGUAUUGGCACUCCUGAGGCUAGUUGUGCCAUCUCGUUGGCCGCUAAGUUGGAUCCCCUGGGAACAUGAUUGACCGAUAUCUCAGAAUCCCAGAAACUCAAUAAUUGCGUAGCUGCCAAGUAAUACCCCGCCAUGGUAAUAUGUCUGCACUUGAACUCCCCAUUUAACUGGUUUAUUACCAACUCUGAAUCCCCAAAAACCUCUACCUCUACUGCCUCCAGAUCCAUCAAGAUUUCCAGACCAAUAAUUAAGGCCUCAUACUCUGCCCGAUUAUUAGUAUUUCCUUGGUAGUCCAAGAGAAAUGAAUAAUAAUGAUAAACUCCCUGAGGGUUUACAAUUACAAUUCCCGCUCCUGAAGCCUUUUGAGUGUGGGAUCCAUCGACAUACAACUUCCAAGGAGUGAUCCAGAGACCAGCUACUCUUCUUAUCUCUUGCUGGACCCAGUCUUCUUUGCCCGAAAUAUCUUCUUCUUGCGGAUUGGGCGGGAUCCAAAUGCUAGUAACCUCUAAGCUUCCCGGGAUAUUGAUCACCUCACUUGGAGAUUCUUGAUGCUCGGUCAGGAAGUCGGCAAUUGCUUGACCUUUGACUGCCCUUUGGGGUACGUACUGAAAACUGAAUUCUGAUAAUGCUAGAAUCCAUUUCCCAAUCCUUCCUGUGAGCAUUAGCUUUGACAACAUGUACUUUAUCACAUCUGUCUUGGCGAUGAUGUGCACGUGACAAGGUAACAUGUAAUGCCUUAAUUUACUGGCAGUGAAAUAUAAAGCCAAGCGUAAUCUCUCUACCGGGGAAUACCUUGUCUCUACCUCGGUCAGAAUUCUAUUGAGGUAGUACACUGCCUGCUCCUUCCCGCUUUCAUUAUUUUGGGCUAGCAAACUCCCGAUUGACUUUUCAGAGGCAGAAAUAUACAGCUUCAAGGGUUUUCCCCUUUGGGGUGGCACCAACACUGGUGGAGAAGUCAAAUAGGCCUUGAUGCUGUCAAAGGCCUGUUGGUGUGGUGGUCCCCAUUCGAAGUUUUCUUUAUCUUUUAAUCUUAGUAAGGGAGUCAGCGGCUGGAUCUUGCUUGCUAAAUUAGCAAUGAAUCUCCUCAAGAAGUUAAUUUUGCCCAGUAACCUCUGGAGUUGCACCUUGUUGGUGGGUGAAGGUGACUCCAUUAUUGCCUGAGAUUUGUUCUUAUCCACUUCCACACCUCUUUGAUGCACCAGGAAUCCCAAGAAGUUGCCCGCUCUUACUCCAAACGCACACUUCUUUUGGAUUCAUCUUCAAUUGUGGAUCCUCAUCCUUGCUAAUGUCUGUUUGAGAUCUUCCAGAUGCUGUUCUUCUGUCUUGGACUUCACCACUAUGUCAUCGAUGUAUACCUCCAUACUCUGGCCAAUCAGAUCGUGAAAGAUGGCAUUCAUUGCCCUCUGGUAAGUUGCACCAGCGUUCUUGAGCCCGAAUGGCCCGAGCAUGACCAGAUAUUCAUAUGCCCCCACAUGCCCGGGACACCUAAAAGCUGUUUAUGUAUAUCUUCUCUGGAGCCAUCUUUAUCUGAUUAUACCCGGCAUUCCCAUCCAUAAAAGAUAGACUUUAUGCUUUGCUACUGCAUCUAUGGAUAAAUCGGCCAUUGGCAUGGGAUACUCAUCAUUUGGUGUAGCGCCAUUAAUAUUUCUGUAAUCCACCACAACAUCGUACCGCUUUGUUACAGCUUUUAAAACGGGUACAAUGUUGGCCAACCACUCCACAUAUUUGGCUGGUCUGAUAAAGCCAGCUUUCACUAGCCUUUCAAUCUCUUCUUUGAUCUUUUCUUCUAUCUCCUUUGACAUCAUUCGUGGUGCUUGCUUGACAGGUUUAUAUCCCUCCCUGAUGGGCAUUCUAUGUUCCACCAAGGUUGGAUCUAACCCUGGCAUCUCGGUAUAAUGCCAAGUAAAACAGUCUUUGAAUUCUUGCAAAAGACAAAUAAUCCUUGCCCGAUCAUCAACCCCCAAUAAACCACUGAUCUGUAUUGGUCUCGGAUCCUCCUCUGUUCCUAAAUUAAUAACUUCCAGAGGAUCCUGGACUUCUGGUGGUGGCUUAUCCGAUUCUGUACACAAAAAUUCGACCAGCUCCGGGCUCUCGGGCAAGUCGUUUGGCCCGUCUAGAUCAUAUAUGCACUCGGCCAUUUGAAUGGCCCUAUCCAGUUCUUCUCUGCAAGAUUCCUCCUUGCUUUCAUGCUGGCUGGUUGAAGUUCCCACCUGCCAUUCCUGCUCUUCCCUGUCCAAGAGCUCCCUUUCUUGUCUUCUUCCAUUCCCAUAUACCAGCAGUCUUUUAAUCAGGGAUCUGACUGCCAUUACCUGAUCUCUCUUCUUUUGUUCAGUCAUUGAUGGUGUAGGGGAUUUGGGAGGAUACAAGGUCUAUCCCACUCCUCUCUAGUAAGGAGCAUUCCUUGUUCCAAAAGCUUUUGGGCCGUCACACCUUGGUAGGGCGGCGUCGUUCUCGUCAGCUCCUGAACACUUCAAGAUUCCUACAUUGGGGUUGUAGAAACUUGCUUCCACAACAUUGGGCUGUGGGGGAGAAAUGGGAUUCGGCCUGAUUCGUGCCUCUACCAUCUCCCAAAAGCCUGGUCCUUCUGUGCCCGCUUCAUGAUAAACAGCCACUUGUUGAUGAAGAGUAGAGGGUAUGGCCAAACUUUGGUGGAUCCAAUCUCUUCCGAGUAAGGCCCCAUAAGUGGAAGUGCAGUCCACCACAAAGAAUGCCAGCAUUAUCUGUUUAGAUCCCAAAUUCACCUCUAGAGGCAAUAUCCCAUGAGUCUUGGUGAUAGCGCCUGAGAAGCUAGAGACCGUGAGGUCUGUGGGAAUAAGAUCCUCCGUGCCUCUUCCCAUUUUCUUCAUCUGCUUGGCUGGUAACACAUUAACAGCUGCUCCUCCAUCAAUUAAAAUUCUUUUGAAGGGCACACCUUCUAAAUGAGUUGUAACAUAUAUGGGUUUCAGAUGAUUGGCCAACGAGCUGUUCGGGCGGCUAAACACCAUUUCGUCUGUGUAAAUCCUUAGAGGACCACCUUUGGAUGCUUAUGAAGAUUCAGCCUUGUCCGAGUUUUCUUCUUCAACUACUUCUACAUUGACAUGUGCCAUCAUUGGCUCAGUUGUCAAGUAAUCACCCUCCAUAGUAGCGGGUUGAUCAGGUCUGGCACUAAACGUGGCGGACAACACAUAUGUCAUGUUGAUAUGGAAAUUACUAGGCUCGGGCGGAUUUUCUUUAUUGCCCCCAAUCUGGUUCAUAAAUUCAUCCAACCAGGCCAUCGCAUCAGCUGGAAGUAAUGGUUCUGGUGCCCCCUCCUGUUGCUGUUGAUUCAUGUCCGCAUACAGUGUUUGUUUUGGAACUUCACCAAAAGGAUCCACCAAUGACAGAGAAGGUGGUCUCCUUUCAGAUGAAAUAGUUCCAGCGCAAAUAGGCUCUGGCUUCCACCCAGGGGUUGGCACCAUGAUUAGCUCUUCUUGAGCUCUCCUCAAGAUCCUAUACUUCCCAGGGUGUUGGCUGCGGCACGUGAUCCCCCUCGCCUUCUGUCUUGCUGUUGGCCUUUUCCACCUCUUUCUUACUUCUCCAACGGAGCUGACUACUUCCCCCAGAUGCUGUUUUCUCCAACUUUUGAUUUUUGGAGGCUUCGGAUGUUGUGGGGGUCUUCAGGGAAUUCAUGUAGGCUUUGUGCUGCCUUUGAACCCUCCUGACCAUGGAGGCUCCCAUUGGUUUGGUAGGCUGUCCGUUCUUCCCGACUACGUACCAUUUUCGCCCGAGGUGGGCAGGAUUCCCUUUUUUAACAGGAUUGGUCAUGCCAUCAAUCCUCUUGAUUUCCCUCCCCAUCUGCCACAUUUGGCCACAUUGGGAUGAUCUGUACCCCUUCGUAUUUUGGCCUCCAUGUCUUCUGCUUCUUUAGAAACUUCAUGAUUUCGAAAUACUUCUGACAAAGCUUUGGGUUGGGAAUCACCUCCUAGUCGUUGAAAAACGCUUCGGGAAGUGUCCUUUUUUGUAGCCUGCUUAAUCUUUUCGCGGGCUUCUCUUCUGACGUCUUCUUCCUUUCUCCUAAUCAGUUCAUGAUCAAUGAGGAUUCCAGCCGGGGGAAUUUCGAGCUCACACUCGCAUUGACACUUACUACACAUAACCAUCCCCUUGAUUAUGGCUGCUUUUGGAUAUUCAGGUGAUUUAAUCACCCCUCCUGUAGGUUUUUCAGCCAAUCUCUCCUCUUCUGGUUCCCUUGUAAUUCUUUCUUUUCCCUUCUCAGCCCAUGUCAUAUUGAUCAUAUUUAUAGGGGCUUCGGUGAAGGGAACUGCAGGUUUGGCUAUCACCGACUCUUUUGGCUGGCUGGCUCUACGUCUUUUUCCUUCGGGAGGAACCAAGCCUGUAUCAUUUCUGGAGCUUGUGGAAGCUUUCUCCAAUCUUUGCAACAUUUGUAGUAACGUGGUUUGCAAAUCUUCUGGCAUUUUAACAUAUAUCUUCUGAUCAAAUGUAGUUGUCCCACCGGGCGUGCCAAACUAUGUUCGCGUCAGGAAUUUCCGUCGGGGAUGUUUCCUGGCCGACGAGCACACAGCUCCCCUGGAGGUUGGCGCCGGUUGAGGGCUGCUGUCGGGCUUCUGCUUCACUGUCGGGCUUUGUCGGGCAAGUCUUGUCGGGCAAGUCUUGUCGGGCAAGACUCUUCGGGCAAGGCUCGUCGGGCAAGGCUGAAAGAGAAGUACAGAGUUCACUUUGAGAGGUGCCUUUGUGGGGCCUUAGAUGUCGGCCUUGAGGCUCACAAUCAAGGUUAACUUUUAGGUGCUCAGGCGUGCCACUGCCAUCUUCAGCAUGGCAGAUGUAAAAUGGAUGUCGAGUUUUAAUUGUAUAUAUGUAUAUAUCCGAGAAACCGUGUUAGUUAUAACAGGUGCCUUUGUGGGGCCUUAGGUGUAGGCCUCGAGGCUUCCCAUAAAUAACUAAACCAGUGCUCGAACACAUCAUAUCUGUUCUCGUGAUUGCAGGAGUUCUCUAACUAUUAUACUUCUGAUUACCCGAGUCCAAGAAGUAGAAUGAACCCAAAUAGGUGCCUUUGUGGGGCCUUAGGUGUAGGCCUUGAGGCUUCCCAUCAGAGUUCGUUCUUAUACUCAAACUCUCUAGAUCGCAGAACGGAAUGAAUCCAAAUGGAUGCCUUUGUGGGGCCUUAGGUGUAGGCCUUGAGGCUUUCCAUCAGAAUCCAUUCCAUGCUCAAGCAUUCUACGGUAAUCAUAACAUAAUAGAAAUAAAACUAGAGGGUAGGUUGAUUACUUGCGCCCCAAGUAACUUCGGACUUCUCGUUUAUCAAGGACUGUCAUGGAUGGGUUAAGUCCACAUAAGGUUCUUUUUUAUGCCUUGAGGCCAGGGACUUUUAACUGAUCAGAUUUACAUGCCCGAGGGCUUAGGACUUGGAUCUGGUUUGAACACUGAAGAUAUAUUCAAAUCGGAUUCAAGUAUUGAGAAAGCCUUUUAAUAGUCAUAUUGCUAGAAAUAACUUGCAUAUAACUGGACGUAUACAACAUAUUGAAAAGACAAAAACAAAGCAAAGAAGGUCGGGCAAGGUUAAACCUUAUCAGGUAAGGCUGCUCGUCUUGUAGGUUCCUAUCUUUGUAGUUUUGUCAAGGGUCUGAAAGCUUAGAGGGAUAGAGAGAGGGAUUACAAAAGAUGAAUCGAUACUACAGCAAGGUUGAACAGGGUAGCAGAGCUAUUACAAAGGUUUGAAGGGAGGGUUAUCCCGCGAGGGAUGAAGGCUUGUCCCGAGAGGGAUGAGGGCUGACUACAGCUUUGUUUUGAAGGCAAAUCUGGCUUUGAGCAGAGUUUGUGCUUGCAUUUGUUUGUUUGAUUGAGUGUCCUUAUUCCUGGUUUCUCUUUCUUCUUAUAUAGACAACUCGGCUUGGCCUUCUGUAGCAGCAGCCUUGCCCGAAUGCGGUUUGAGGGUGAUGACUCAUCAAAUAUUUUACAUGUAAUGCCACCAUAAAGUGCUUUAUAGGCUAUGUAGCUGAUCAGUCUACACCACUUGGCCUUUGGGUAGGUAAGCAAGUGGUCUUCAUGAGCUGCACCAAGUCAGAAAAGGCCCCUUUCUGCCUUCUGGGCUUUGACUGGGCUUUGGCUGUCUUUCCCUUUGGGCCUCCUUUCGGGCCAGCUCCUUCCUUGAGCCCAAAGUUCAAGUUUUGAUCCAAACACGAAUAGCAAAUUAUCACCACGUUUUUCUCAGCAUGUGAGAGGCACUAAAUGAGCUUUAAGUUUAAUCAGAUAAAACCUAAUCAGCUAACAAUAUCUAGUAAGUAGCCAUGACAACUAAAUAGGUUGUUAUUUAAGUCCAAACUUAAUAACCGUAACAACCUAUUAAAGACUCUUUUGUAAGCCCAAAACCAAAACAGGCUAGUGAAAACAAUUAAUUCAAAUUAGCAUAAACCUAGACGAUAUGGAUAUGCAUGCCAAAUUUACGUGCGUGGAUGUCUCCGAAACGCUUGUUAUUUUUAUGAUCGAAAGCACGAGAAACACGCUUAGACUAGAAUAAUUACAAUUGGUUAUGUACCAAUCAAUACUACAUGAAUAUACACAAACAAUAAAUGAAAGAAAACGUGAUGAGGUAAAAAUAGCCUAUCAGCCAUUUAGUACUAUGGUCCGGUGCUAUUCUUCUUCACUUGUACGUGAGAGGUCUUAGGUUCGAUUCUUGCCAAAAACGAAUUUGAACCACAAUUGUCAGCCAAUUGUGAGAUUUAGUCCAUUCUCCCACCCCAUUAAUGUAAAUAAUAUCGUUUAUUCAAAAAAAAAAAAAAAAAAAGGAACCCAUCAGAAAUAAGAUUAAUUAACGGAUGUCCAUACCCAAAAGAAAAAGAAAAAACUUACGAAAUUUGUAUAGGUGGCGGUUAUUUGGCUGCUAUCAACUUUGAAAUGAUAUAGAGCAAAAAAAACAGUUGUUUUACUGUAGAACGACAUGAAGAAGAUCUUGGGGAAGAAAGAGAUAUGAAUACCCAGAUCACAAGUAUUUGAAAUAAGAUUAAAGAUUUGCAGUCUAAUCCAAAUAGAUAAAUAAGGAUUAUUGAAAGAAAAAAAAAGUAUGACGUGAAAUUAAAUAAAUGGUACAAAAUAUGACGUAUACAAAGUUAAAAGACUUGAUAAAAAUUGAAAAUUAAUGAGGUGUUAGUAAAAAAAUUAGAACAAGACUUCGAUGUUGAAAGAUGAGUAGCAACUGCUGCUGAUAACCAAUCACGCACGGACACAUGUCCAAGUUUUUAUCUUUUUAAUCAAAACUCGGACACGUGUUCGCGCGUGAUAGGCCAUCAGCAGCAACUGCUGCUGAUCUUUUCAGCAUCGAAGUUGUUUCCAAAAAAUAAUUGUGAUUAAGGGCCCAAUCGUAAUUUUAUUUUUUCCUUUAAAAAUAUAUGUUAGCUCUUAUAAUUAUCUAGACUAAGUGUGACUGUGUAAAUAUUAGAUUAGAUUUGAUUCUAUUUAUUAUUUCCUAUAUGACCUGUAUUCCUUGGGGAUGAAUGAUUUUUUCUCCCUCUUAUUACUAUAAAUAAAAGCACUACGUAGGGGGCAUAACACACACAUUCCUCUACACAAUUCUACAAAUACAUCUCCCUCUAUUCUCU